rnacentral:snoRNA from 1 species
UUUUAUGAUGUUACUUUUUAUUAGUAUAGUUCAUUAGAAUCAAAUAUGUUACAAACUUUAUAAAGCUGAUAUA